AGAGAGAGAGAGAGAGAGAGAGAGAGAGAGAGAGAGAGAGAGAGAGUUAAAAAGAGAGGAAGUUCAGGGUUACUUACUGCAGCAGAGGAACAAAUGUUAAUAUACAGUGGUUUGAUUGAAACCACACCAGUGUGUGUGCGCGUGUGUGUGUUUGCAUGUGUACGUGUGUGUGUGUGAGUGUGAAACAGGGUGGGUGAGAGAGGAAAGCUUUAGUGAAACAGUCGUGUCAGUGCAGCUCGACGCAGCAGAUGAGAGAAACACAUUCAAUCUUAUGGACAAUUUAAAAGAGUUUGCAGUCAGGCAGGAAGAAAUAAAGGAUUUAAUACAAUAAACUAGCCGAAGAAGUCGAAACACCAUCAGAUACAUUCUCUAACAAGACAUAUUAAACACAACCUGUCAAUCAAAAUGACCACCGCCUGGCCCACUGAACGCUUGACCAAUCAGAGCAUCGUUCCAGUCGUCAACCACUCGUGUCCUCUAGAAGAGGAGAACCUGCGGGUUCCUCUGGCCGUCCUGUACUCCUUCAUCUUCCUGUUUGGCCUGACAGGAAACCUGCUCGCUCUUUGGGUUUUCUUCUUCUUGCAUUCGCGCAGGAACUCCGUCCGCAUCUUUCUCAUCAACGUGGCCCUGGCGGACUUGGUGCUGAUCGCGUGCCUUCCCUUCCGAGUGCUCUACCACGCCCGGGGGAACCGCUGGACGCUGGGAACGCAUAUGUGCAAGGUGGUGGGCAACCUCUUCUACAUGAACAUGUACGUCAGCAUAACCCUCCUGGGUCUGAUCAGCAUGGACCGUUAUAUGAAGAUCAUCGGCAUCCGGGGAUCUCGGCGGGGCUGCGGCUGGCGGCGACUGAGAGGAAGCGGCUGGAGUCUGGUGGCGUGCGGGCUGCUUUGGGGCUGCGCCCUGAUGAUGGUGGUGCCCAUGAUCGCCUUGACGGAGGGCAACGAGGACCCGGACAAGUGCUUCCAAUACAAAGCGAGGACCAAGGCUCGAGGCAAAGCUUACUUCAACUACUUUAUGGUGGCUGUGUUCUGGCUGGUGUUUGUGGUACUGCUGGUGUCGUACGGCCGGAUCGCCCAGAGACUGCUCCGAGCUUCUCGGGACAAACCCGACCUGCCCAACGCUACGCGUUACAGCCGCACGGCCAAGAAAUCCUUUGUGGUGCCGCUACUGUUCACGGUCUGCUUCGUACCGUAUCACGCUUUCAGGGGCUUUUACGUCCAGUCGCAGCUAAGGGACGUCACGUGUGAGACACGCCGGCUAGCGGACCGCACCAACGAGGUCACGCUUCUGUUUUCGGCCCUCAACAGCUGCCUGGACCCGGUGAUGUAUUUCAUGCUGUCCGGGUCGGUGCGCAAGGCCGUGAUAGGAGCGCUCUCGCGAUUCAUCCACUUGCGCCGUGACCCCAUCAUGACCAACAGCUCUACCACGGAGUUCCGGAGGACAUCGGUGUCCACCGCUGCGGUCCUGACCGCGUCUCGAGGCAGCCUGGGUGUCAUCACGGCCCAUCGGUGUCAGUCGGGCCAUGUUAACGGCAUCGCUGAGGGAAUUUCCUGUUCACAAAUAACUGGCCUAACAAACUGAAAAAAGUGAAACCUCAGGAAAGCUUUUGUAAACGGCAGCACUCAGCACAGGUGUGCUACGGGAUGAAUACUGCCCACCAGUGCUACAAAAAGCUUUUAUAAGAAACUCAUUUCCAUGAACUUGCAUGACAUCAUUUGUUGCUCGUUCUGCACCGCAUGGGCUACACGCAUGGACGAUACCUUUUCUACAUUGUAAGAGCAAUGACUGCCCCUCAUCAGCAGGGAUGAAACUUAAGCCAUCAAAAUCCUUUACGUCAGAGGCACUCAGACGAAAUGUCAGCUGUUGCUUUGUUCUCCCAACAGCAUUAAGCUUCUGUCAUGCUAACACAUUGACCCCAGGGGAUCUCAUGAAAAACUUGACAUUUUUUUACUCGAAGUCAACGAAAAUCGAGCAGGACCAAAACAUUUUACAGCUGAUUGCUGUCAAGAAAGUUCAGUGACGACGUCCCAAGGAUGACAGCAGCAAUGACAUUGUUCUUAAUAUGACAAAAUAAGUGUUGUGAUAAAUGCCAUUAAUGUUUUUUUUUAAAUCAGUGAAUUCACAUUUGGAAGCUGAAUGUAAGGGAAAUGUCAUUUUGGACAUUGUGUGAUCUAAUGUGAUGUUGUUGUUCAUGUUCUUGUUCAUGAUGGCAUUUUGUUGUUGUUGUAAUUAAUUAAUAGCAUAAACAAGAUGACCUGGGGCCCGUUUCAAUAAGGAGGUUCAACCAACUCUGAGUUUAAACUUGAACUGUGAGUUGACUUCCUCUGAGAUGGGAAACUCUGAGUUUUCGGUUACAGAACAGCUGAUCUUAGUUAGUUCAAUUGACUCUGAGUAGGUUAACUCUGAGUUAAGCGCGUGCACAACCACUCUGAAUAGCCAUCAUCAAUGGAGCUCCAGUUUUACGAUUCACCAUGGCAACAGCAAAAAAAAAAGGUCUAAAUCCUUUUACUACUAAAACUGAAAGUGUUACUGCAAGUGUACAGCAACUACGAGCAUAUAUUUUAAAGAAAAGCGUUGUUUUGGAACUUUGGUACUCCAGUAAAUGCAUACAUUUAAUUUUUCAUCAAGGUUAAAAUAUCAGAAGUAAAUAAACUGAGGAGGACUAUACAUUAUUACACAUUAUAUUAGUUGUCAUGCAGAUGUAAUCCCAUGGAUAAAAAUAAUAAGACAGCAGCUCAGCUAAAAAUGAAAUUAGGCCUAAGACUUUAGCAUAAAAGGCUACGAACUUUACAAAUGUUUGUAAUGAAUAAAACUGAAAUAUGCAAAGCCGGUAUUUGAACUCAGAUCGCCGACAGUACGUCUGCUCGCUCAUUGCGCAUAGCACACUGGACCAGCGGCUUUGAUGAGUGGAGUCAUAAGAAAUGUAAAGGCAACUGUAAGAGCACGGCCACAAAAACUGAUAUUAGUCAUGUAAGGAUAUUUAUAUCCCUAAAAUGACUGCAAAGACAAAAAACAAAUCUUCUCCUGACAUAAAUGCAACUUCCUACAAAUAAAUGCAACAUCAUCAUCUACAGGAUCCUCUAUAAAAGCACAUAAGAUUUUAUUCACUAAGACGGUCUCUGCACCUAAGUAUAUCAAAUUGGCUUUACUGAUCAUUUCAAUAAACUGUUUUCUGUUUAAAUUUGUUUACAUUUAAGUGUAAUUUAUACAAAUAUAUAAAGCACUAAGGUUAAAUUAUUUACACUGGAAAUUUGAUAUCUUAAUAACUUAAAGACAGCUAAAAAUAUUUUACAGUUUACGUAAUAAACAUGUGCACAAUAAAUGAAUGUACUAAAGCAACUAACAAGAUUAAACACCGCUGCUCCUUUAAAAAUGGGGAGGAGACCACAAGAAACUCAAGAGUUUACAGGAUAAAAGCUGCUCUCGACCAGGUUAGGUUCACACAGUAAGUUACUCCGGAAACAUAAGUUACCUCUCCUUAUGAAACAUGCUUGACUUCCCUCGCUGUCUCGGGUUUAACCUACCUCUCAUUCUGAAACAGAAACUCAGAGUUUCCCUCAUUUCAGGGUUAACAUACUCAGAGUUUUCACUUAACCUCCAUUCUGAAACGAGCCCCUGAUGAAUUCAUUUUGGAAGAGUAUUUUUGGUCCAGUGUAUUACUAUUGACCAAGUUGGCUGUCAUAUAUCGGUCAACUUACUUUGUUACUUUAAAAAAUACAUUUGAUAUAGCAUUUUUUUUUAAAUCAUGGAUUUAUUGCAUUUUGCAGAAAAAAAAUCAGUUUUUAUAAUAAAUCUUUGAAAAAUCAAAUUAUGGAUUCAAAAUUAUUUUAUUUUAACCUUAAGAUGCUAUGUGAAAGUUUGUAACAGAAAAUAAUGGUUUUAAUCUCGUCACUUUCUUGGUUUAGAAAACACAUUUUUACCGAAAUUAGUUAAAAUGGAUUUAUUGCGUUUUGGAACCAAACUCUCAAUACUUGGAUAAAAACAUAUCAUAAUCGCAGUAAUCGUAUUAAAACAGAUGUUGUUCGCAGUUUUUAAUAGCAGGAUGCGGCCAUGUAAAGACAUGAAACGGCUCAAAUAACACAAUAAAAAAAUUACAGGCACUGUUAUCAGACUUCUGUCUUUAUCACCGCACCGAAUAACAAAAUACGUCCAUAAGAACGUGUUUGUCAUUUAACGUAAGUAAAUUAAAACAGUUGACAGUAUAUGGGAUUUCAUCAUUAUGAGCUGCAUGUAAACAGAAGUAAAGAGGAACCUAUAGCUCCAGUCAUGUUAACAUCUUUACUC